rnacentral:tRNA from 1 species
GGGGGUGUAGCUCAGUGGUAGAGCAUUUGCCUAGCAUACACAAAGCCCUGGGUUCAAGCCCUGGCACCACAA